rnacentral:rRNA from 1 species
UCGAGAAUCUUCGGCAAUGGGCGAAAGCCUGACCGAGCGAUGCCGCGUGCGGGAUGAAGGCCCUCGGGUUGUAAACCGCUGUCGUAGGGGAGGAAGGCUCUGUGAAGAGCAGGGCUUGACCGAUCCUAGGAGGAAGUGGAGGCUAACCUCGUGCCAGCAGCCGCGGUAAGACGAGGUCCACAAACGUUAUUCGGAAUUACUGGGCUUAAAGCGUGCGUAGGCGGCCUAGCAAGUCAGGUGUGAAAGCCCUCGGCUCAACCGAGGAAUUGCGCCCGAAACUGCUGGGCUUGAGUGAGACAGAGGUGAGCGGAACUGAUGGUGGAGCGGUGAAAUGCGUUGAUAUCAUCAGGAACACCGGUGGCGAAGGCGGCUCACUGGGUCUCAACUGACGCUGAGGUACGAAAGCCAGGGUAGCGAACGGGAUUAGAUACCCCGGUAGUCCUGGCCUUAAACGAUGAGCACUAGCCCGAAGAUCUGCACAGGUUUUUGGG